AUUAACUUGUUCUUAUCACUCAUAUUUGCAUUUCCCUAGAGUCUAUUUUCUCAUUGUAAAACAACACCUUUUAUGGCGAUGUCUAUCAAUGUUAUUAUCAUAGUUAUCUAUGUCUCUUUUACAACUCUCAUCAUAAUAACUUACCUUUAUUCAUCAAUGGCUCAUUUUUGAUAGUAUAAAAAUGACAUGAAAAAUAACAUCUAUUUACACAAUCACAGCAGCUAUCGCAAUUAUUAAUACAUAUUUUACACUUUUUAGAUGAAACAGUAUGCUUGUCAUUUUUUACUUCUCAAUCAUCAUAAAGCAAUGUCCCUAGUGACACUAUUAAUGUAAUCAAAAAAAAACAAUCUACAAUGAUUGGUUUGCUGUACUUAAUACAGAAUCAAGACAGAAUUUAAGUAGAAAACAUGACAACCCAUAGAAAAGUUAAUCUCUUCACAUGGACACUAAUAGCAAGUACACAACUGCAUAUGCCUAAUGUUCUCUAACACAUGAUGGAUACCUUUUUGACUGCCAGCAUUCUUACAUUAAACAAAUCUUUCUGUAUCACUUUCAUAUACAGUUGCUUUU